UGCUAAUCUGCGAUAAGCGUCGGUAAGGUGAUAUGAACCGUUAUAACCGGCGAUUUCCGAAUGGGGAAACCCAGUGUGUUUCGACACACUAUCAUUAACUGAAUCCAUAGGUUAAUGAGGCGAACCGGGGGAACUGAAACAUCUAAGUACCCCGAGGAAAAGAAAUCAACCGAGAUUCCCCCAGUAGCGGCGAGCGAACGGGGAGCAGCCCAGAGCCUGAAUCAGUGUGUGUGUUAGUGGAAGCGUCUGGAAAGGCGCGCGAUACAGGGUGACAGCCCCGUACACAAAAAUGCACAUGCUGUGAGCUCGAUGAGUAGGGCGGGACACGUGGUAUCCUGUCUGAAUAUGGGGGGACCAUCCUCCAAGGCUAAAUACUCCUGACUGACCGAUAGUGAACCAGUACCGUGAGGGAAAGGCGAAAAGAACCCCGGCGAGGGGAGUGAAAAAGAACCUGAAACCGUGUACGUACAAGCAGUGGGAGCACGCUUAGGCGUGUGACUGCGUACCUUUUGUAUAAUGGGUCAGCGACUUAUAUUCUGUAGCAAGGUUAACCGAAUAGGGGAGCCGAAGGGAAACCGAGUCUUAACUGGGCGUUAAGUUGCAGGGUAUAGACCCGAAACCCGGUGAUCUAGCCAUGGGCAGGUUGAAGGUUGGGUAACACUAACUGGAGGACCGAACCGACUAAUGUUGAAAAAUUAGCGGAUGACUUGUGGCUGGGGGUGAAAGGCCAAUCAAACCGGGAGAUAGCUGGUUCUCCCCGAAAGCUAUUUAGGUAGCGCCUCGUGAAUUCAUCUCCGGGGGUAGAGCACUGUUUCGGCAAGGGGGUCAUCCCGACUUACCAACCCGAUGCAAACUGCGAAUACCGGAGAAUGUUAUCACGGGAGACACACGGCGGGUGCUAACGUCCGUCGUGAAGAGGGAAACAACCCAGACCGCCAGCUAAGGUCCCAAAGUCAUGGUUAAGUGGGAAACGAUGUGGGAAGGCCCAGACAGCCAGGAUGUUGGCUUAGAAGCAGCCAUCAUUUAAAGAAAGCGUAAUAGCUCACUGGUCGAGUCGGCCUGCGCGGAAGAUGUAACGGGGCUAAACCAUGCACCGAAGCUGCGGCAGCGACGCUGAUGCGUUGUUGGGUAGGGGAGCGUUCUGUAAGCCUGCGAAGGUGUGCUGUGAGGCAUGCUGGAGGUAUCAGAAGUGCGAAUGCUGACAUAAGUAACGAUAAAGCGGGUGAAAAGCCCGCUCGCCGGAAGACCAAGGGUUCCUGUCCAACGUUAAUCGGGGCAGGGUGAGUCGACCCCUAAGGCGAGGCCGAAAGGCGUAGUCGAUGGGAAACAGGUUAAUAUUCCUGUACUUGGUGUUACUGCGAAGGGGGGACGGAGAAGGCUAUGUUGGCCGGGCGACGGUUGUCCCGGUUUAAGCGUGUAGGCUGGUUUUCCAGGCAAAUCCGGAAAAUCAAGGCUGAGGCGUGAUGACGAGGCACUACGGUGCUGAAGCAACAAAUGCCCUGCUUCCAGGAAAAGCCUCUAAGCAUCAGGUAACAUCAAAUCGUACCCCAAACCGACACAGGUGGUCAGGUAGAGAAUACCAAGGCGCUUGAGAGAACUCGGGUGAAGGAACUAGGCAAAAUGGUGCCGUAACUUCGGGAGAA
rnacentral:rRNA from 1 species